UACGGAGGGUGCAAGCGUUGUUCGGAUUUAUUGGGCGUAAAGCGCGUGUAGGCGGUCUUCUAAGUCUGAUGUGAAAGCCCUGGGCUCAACCCAGGAAGUGCAUUGGAUACUGGAAGACUUGAAUACGGGAGAGGGUAGUGGAAUUCCUAGUGUAGGAGUGAAAUCCGUAGAUAUUAGGAGGAACACCGGUGGCGAAGGCGGCUACCUGGACCGAUAUUGACGCUGAGGAGCGAAAGCGUGGGGAGCGAACAGG
rnacentral:rRNA from 1 species